rfam:Saccharicrinis fermentans DSM 9555 = JCM 21142 DNA, contig: JCM21142.contig00051.
AGAGCUCCGUAACCACGGGUUGGUAGAGCGGAGCAGUCAGCAGACGCCAUAGUACUUGCAAGUAACGAGCUACAUAGAGGAAUGUAGAGGUCUCACAACGCAAGGAAGGGC